rnacentral:lncRNA from 1 species
UAUCUAACCCUUGCACUUGGAAUUGAAACACUUCUUCUAGUGAAGCACAAUCAAUCACUAUUAGUUUUUCCAAUCUUUGGAAAACCCCCAAAAGAAAAGGUGGAAAGAUGUUCAACAACACAUCACAUUCCUUAACAGUCAACUCUUUUAGCAUAGAAAAGGAAUUCUUAUGAAGUUUGCUGUGCCAUAUCCUCUUUGCGUUCCUCAAAUGGGAGAUUGUGAUUUUCUCCAAGUUAGGAAAAGCAACCUGCAUAAUGAUAGAAAGAGCUAAUUACAAUUAGAAAUAAAUUAUAUAAAAUGUUAGCUCAUGGAUGCUUAGGUGAAGGUAUCGGUAAAUCAUAUAAUUAAGACAAUUGGAAUCAUUGGCCGUUUGAGAAGAGCCUAAAUGAGCUUAAUAUAAAAUUAAUUGGCUUUUUUGUAUGUAACUACUUACAAAAAUACAGACACUAAUUUUUAAUAUUACAUGUAUUGCACAUAAUUUAAUAUAUUUAAUUUUUAUAUAAUGCUUUUUUAAUUAUUAUAAUUAAUUCUUAAUUCAAAAUUUUGAAUUUAAUUAUUUGAGAAUUCAAACAUAAUAAGAAAAAAGCUUCGCAAUAAAACAAUAUAUUCAAAAUACAAGAAGGCACAUAAUAAGGGUAGCAUUCAUAAUAGAAUUUGCUAUUAAUGGGAUAACAAAGUGAUAGGCUUUUCCAAAUACACUUAAACAUAUAUGCAAAUAUGCUAGCUGGUUUUGAAUAAUUUCAAUUUUAUUAGUUAAUCAAUUCUUCCACAAUUUUUUUAAUUUUUAAUUCAAUUUACUAUUCAACAUUGUUCUUCAAUAAUUUGAAGACAAAGUUUACUAUAGAAUAAUACUCUUUCAAAUAUAUUGUUUUAAUAAUAGUAGAAAAUAUUUAAAAUUAAAAAAGACACAAAACCUUUGCUGGAAGAAAAUGGCUAAAUAUUUUUUCUAAUUCCUAGCUUUAUUGUUGUUUCAUUCUUCAAGUUGCUGUGGACUGUAGAUGAUAUUAGAGAGGAGUAAAGAUAUAGCUCAUGAUUCAUCACUAGCCAUAUGACUUAAAUGUAUAAAUCAAGAUUCGUUAAAAGAAAAACUAACCUUAUCGGAGAAAAUUACAGUAACAUUAUCAACUUCGUCACCAAUUAUCACUUCUUUAUCUUCAUCUCUUGAAAAUGUGCAAACAAAAGUAGUCAUGUUUGAACAAUCAACUAUCUUAAGUUCAACCAAGGAUGGACAUUCAAGACCUUUACUUCCCAUGUAAAAGCUUGUCAUAUCUGGACAAGACUCCACUGUAACGGAUCGUAGACGAGGGAAUAUGCUAAUAAUCUUGCUACUAUCUGUUAUUGCUUCCUUAACCAUUGCAAUUGGACCCUCUUCUUUGAUGACUUGUUCCAAAUUACCGCAUCUCUUUAUUUCCAUUUGCCGGAGUUGCCUCAGGCCAAAGGCCAUUGAGAGGUUAAAAAUGUAUCUCAAAUUGUUGGAAUCACAAACCUCUAGAAAUUCAAGAGUUGUAAAAUAAAAAAUUUCUUGAGGAUUUCUACUCCAUAUGUCCACCAGUUCCGGAAACUCUGAAAACUUCAAAUGCUUUAGACCACGGUAUCCAACCUGAGAAGCAACAUAUAAAAAAGUCGAAGUUUCAUACCAACAUAUUUAACAAGGCGCCACAAUGCUAUUGUGAAAAUAAAUUGCACAAAUCAUAAUUAAAUGUAUAUAUAUAUAUUUCAAUUAAUUUUUAAAUCAGUACCUGCUCUUGGUAUAAUUGCUCCACGGUGGCAUUAAGGUCACCAGCCCAACGUCCCGUAAAAUCUGUUUGUGUUAAUUGCAAUUUUUGCAGCUUUGGUGUUGUUAACUCUCCUUUAUUGAAGUUCUUCAUUCGAGGGCACUGGCUCAAAGUAACUUGUUCCAAGGAAGGAAACCUUAAGGCGUAAUUCCUUGAACAAAAGCUCGUGAGGCUUUGUAAACAAUGAAGCUCCAAACAUUUCAGCGCUCUGAAAACAAUCUCGUAUGAUGUUUCAUCCCCGUCGCUUGCAACUACUUCUCUCAUCCUUUCACAUUUUCUUAUCCUCAUUGUAACAAGGCACGCCAAACUUCGAGCUUUGGAAGAUGUUAUCAGCUCUAACAUCUCGUCGCAAUUGAAGACAUCUAAAGUUGUAAGAUUUUCAGAAAAUGAAAUAUCUAAUCCUAAAUCAAUCAAAUUGCCACAAUUCCAAACUUCAAGACAUUCGAGACUCGCACAAAUAUGGCCAAGCGGGGAGUCUUGCUUCCAUUGAUGUCUUAUGUUGUUAACCAAAUCCAAUCUCAACUCCUUGACUUUAGGAAUUGUGAUAAUCAUGUCUUGAUCUUCACAUGCAUCAUUUCCGAAAGAAGCUAGCUCUUUGAAACUGCAAGAACCUAGGUCAAGACUUUCCAAAUUGUAAAACCUUCUAAGAAAAGAAAUGAGGAAAACAACUGAUACAUCAGAGUAGAAAGAAAUUCGAAGAAAUUUUAUAUUGCAAAAUAAGUCGGACUCAUGUUGGCCAUCACUUAUCAUCUUAAUACAAUCGCCAGUAAAUGAAACCUCCUCCAAUUGGGGGAUAACCUAAGAAGCAACAAGUAAGAACAAUGAGUACCGAAGAAUAGCUAUAACACAUAAUAUAAGCCCGUAAACGAACGAUGAAAUCAAUAGUUUGAAAUUAUGUAAGAAUAUGCAAUAAAAUAUGGAUUUGAUGAUUAUUUUAGUUCUUUUACAUUUUCAAAUGAAUAAUUGGAUGUAUUAGUUGAGAUAUACUAAAUGAUUUAACUACAAUUUAUAAAUUUUGCUAAAAAAGUGUGACAGUUCAUACCUUUUCAAUAAGGAAAAGCGAAUUUUGGAUUUGGGAUUCUUCAUGCCCAAAUAUCUUUAUCCUCCAACAAUCAGCCAUCCUCAAUUUCUUUAAUGCAGACCAUGUUGUUCUAUGUAUUCCUGGGUAGAAACAUGUUAGGUAUGGUAGAUGCCAAAGCUUAAGGAAGGACAACUGGUUAAAUGCAAACCAAAUUUCCUGCUCGUCUGAUCCUUCAUCAUUCUUUGAAACAAUCUCCUCCAGCCCACAACUUUCAAUAAAAAGUCUUUCAAGUUGCUGAAGACCUUUGGCAAUUGAAAAUGGAAACAAAGUUUUCAAGUUCCAACAAUCCUCAAUGCAUACUUGUUGUAGACUUUCAAAUGAAAUAUUUCCUUUGUGAUACUUGGUCCAAACAUGCUUCAACCCUGGUAGGCGAACGAGAUCCAGUUCUCUUAGUUGACUAGCUACCACAUCCGUUUCUUCAGUAUCUAACCCUUGCACUUGGAAUUGAAACACUUCUUCUAGUGAAGCACAAUCAAUCACUAUUAAUUUUUCCAAUCUUUGGAAAACCCCCAAAAGAAAAGGUGGAAAGAUGUUCAACAACACAUCACAUUCCUUAACAGUCAACUCUUUUAGCAUAGAAAAGGAAUUCUUAUGAAGUUUGCUGUGCCAUAUCCUCUUUGCGUUCCUCAAAUGGGAGAUUGUGAUUUUCUCCAAGUUAGGAAAAGCAACCUGCAUAAUGAUAGAAAGAGCUAAUUACAAUUAGAAAUAAAUUAUAUAAAAUGUUAGCUCAUCGAUGCUUAGGUGAAGGCAUCGGUAAAUCAUAUAAUUAAGACAAUUGGAAUCAUUGGUCAUUUGAGAAGAACCUAAAUGAAUUUAAUAUAGAUUACAUUCAGUUGACUUUUCUGUAUGUAACUACUUACAAAUACACACUAAUUUUUAAUAUUACAUGUAUUGCACAUAAUUUAAUGUAUUUAAUUUUUAUAUAAUGCAUUUUUAAUUAUUAUAAUUAAUUCUUAAUUCAAAAUUUUGAAUUUAAUUAUUUGAGAAUUCAAACAUAAUAAGAAAAAAAUUUGGAAAUAAAACAAUAUAUUCAAAAUACAAGAAGGGCACAUAAUGUAUGACCCAUAAACUCCCUCUAAUAAGGGUAGCAUUCAUAAUAGAAUUUGCUAUUAAUGGGAUAUGUAUUUUUUUUUAAAAAGUUACCAAUUAAAGUGAUAGGCAUUUUUAAAAAGGCUAGCUGGUUUUGUUGGUUUAGAAAGGAAAAAGAAAUAGAAAUGGUUUUGAAUAAUUUCAAUUUUAUUAUUUAAUUAAUUCUUCCACAAUUUUUUUAAUUUUUAAUUCAAUUUACUAUUCAACAUUGUUCUUCAAUAAUUUGAAGACAAAGUUUACUACAGAAUAAUACUCUUUCAAAUAUAUUGUUUUAAUAAUAGUAGAAACUAUUUAAAAUUAAAAACUACACAAAACCUUUGCUUUAAGAAAAUAGAUAAAUAUUUUUUCUAAUUCCUAGCUUUAUUGUUGUUUCAUUCUUCAAGUUGCUGUGGACUGUAGAUGACAUUAGAGAGGAAUAAAGAUAUAGCUCAUGAGUUAUGACUAGCCAUAUGACUUAAAUGUAUAAAUCAAGAUUCAUUAAAAGAAAAACUAACCUUGUCGGAGAAAAUUACAGUAACAUUAUCAACUUCGUCACCAAUUAUCACUUCUUUAUCUUCAUUUCUUGAGAAUGUGCAAACAAAAGUAGUCAUGUUUGAACAAUCAACUAUCUUAAUUUCAACCAAGGAUGGACAUUCAAGACCUUUGCUUCCCAUGUAAAAGCUUGUCAUAACUGGACAAGACUCCACUGUAAUGGAUCGUAGACGAGGGAAUAUCCUAAUCAUCUUGCUAGUAUCUGUUAUUGCUUCCUCAACCAUUGUAAUUGGACCCUCUUCUUUGAUGACUUGUUCCAAAUUACCGCAUCUCUUGAUUUCCAUUUGCCGGAGUUGCCCCAGGCCAAAGGCCAUUGUGAGGUUAAAAAUAUAUCUCAAAUUGUUGGAAUCACAAACCUCCAGAAAUUCAAGAGUUGUAAAAUCCAACAUUUCUUGAGGAUUUCUACUCCAUAUGUCUACCAACUCCGGAAACUCUGACAACUUCAAAUGCUUUAGACCACGGUAUCCAACCUAAGAAGCAACAUAUAAAAAAGUCCAAGUUUCAUACCAACAUAUUUAACAAGGGCCCACAAUGCUAUUGUGAAAAUAAAUUACACAAAUCAUAAUUAAAUGUGUAUAUAUAUAUAUUUCAAUUAAUUUUUAAAUCAGUACCUGCUCUUGGUAUAAUUGCUCCACGGUGGCAUUAAGGUCACCAGCCCAACGUCCCCUAAAAUCUGUUUGUGUUAACUGCAAUUUUUGCAGCUUUGGUGUUGUUAACUCUCCUUUAUUAAAGUUCUUCAUUCGAGGGCACUGGCUCAAAGUAACUUGUUCCAAGGAAGGAAACCUUAAGGCGUAAUUCCUUGAACAAAAGCUCGUGAGGCUUUGUAAACAAUGAAGCUCCAAACAUUUCAGCGCUCUGAAAACAAUCUCGUAUGAUGUUUCAUCUCCGUCGCUUGCAACUACUUCUCUCAUCCUUUCACAUUCUCUUAUCCUCAUUGUAACAAGGCACGCCAAACUUCUGGCUUUGGAAGAUGUUAUCAGCUCUAACAUCUCAUGGCAUUCGAAGACAUCUAGAGUUGUAAGAUUUUUAGAAAAUGAAAGUUCUAAUCCUGAAUUAAUCAAAUUGCCACAAUUGCAAACUUCAAGACAUUCGAGACUCGCACAAAUAUGGCCAAGCGGGGAGUCUUGCUUCCAUAGAUGACUUAUGUUGUUAACCAAAUCCAAUCUCAACUUCUUGACUUUUGGAAUCGUGAUGAUCAUGUCUUGAUCUUCGCAUGCAUCAUUUUCGAAAGAAGCUAGCUCUUUGAAACUGCAAUAACCUAGCUCAAGACCUUCCAAAUUGUAAAACCUUCUAAGAAAAGAAAUGAGGAAAACAACCGAUACAUCAGAAUAGGAAGAAAUCCGAAGAAAUUUUAUAUUGCAAAAUAUGUCGGACUCAUACUGGCCAUCACUUAUCAUCUUAACACAAUCGCUAGUAAAUGAAACCUCCUCCAAUUGGGGGAUAACCUAAGAAGCAACAAGUAAGAACAAUGAGUACCAUAGAGUAUUAGAUUUAGAAUUCAUUUAAAUAGAAACACAUAACACAAAAGAAUAGCUAUAACACAUAAUAUAAGACCGUAAAUGAACGAUGAAAUGAAUAGUCUGAAGUGAUGUGUAUUUGUAGUUUUAAUUUCUAUAUUAAGAACAUGCAUGUUAGACUUUUUUAUGGAAAAUGCAAUAGAAUUUAUAUUUAGGUAAAGAGUUACAAAGAAUUUGUGACUAAAAUAAAAAUUAGAACAGUAAGAGAUUAUCGAUUAGAUAGGGAAAAAUAUGGAUUUGAUGAUUAUUUUAGUUCUUUUAUAUUUUCAAACGAAUAAUUGGAUGUAUUAGUUGAGAUGUACUAAAUGAUUUAAAUACAAUUUAUAAAUUUUGCUAAAAAAAUGUGACAGUUCAUACCUUUUCAAUAAGAAAAAGUGAAUUUUGGAUUUGGGAUUCUUCAUGCCCAAAUAUCUUUAUCCUCCAACACUCAGCCAUCCUCAAUUUCUUUAAUGCAGACCAUGUUGUUCUAUGUAUUCCUGGGUAGAAACAUGUUAGGUAUGGUAGAUGCCAAAGCUUAAGGAAGGACAACUGAUUAAAUGCAAACCAAAUUUCCUGCUCGUCUGAUCCUUCAUCAUUCUUUGAAACAAUCUCCUCCAGCCCACAAUUUUCUAUAAAAAGUCUUUCAAGAUGCUGAAGACCUUUGGCAAUUGAAAAUGGAAACAAAGUUUUCAAGUUCCAACAAUCCUCAAUGCAUACUUGUUGUAGACUUUCAAAUGAAAUAUUUCCUUUGUGAUACUUGGUCCAAACAUGCUUCAACCCUGAUAGGCGAACGAGAUCCAGUUCUCUUAGUUGACUAGCUACCACAUCCGUUUCUUCAGUAUCUAACCCUUGCACUUGGAAUUGAAACACUUCUUCUAGUGAAGCACAAUCAAUCACUAUUAAUUUUUCCAAUCUUUGGAAAACCCCCAAAAGAAAAGGUGGAAAGAUGUUCAACAACACAUCACAUUCCUUAACAGUCAACUCUUUUAGCAUAGAAAAGGAAUUCUUAUGAAGUUUGCUGUGCCAUAUCCUCUUUGC